CCUCAGUGGUAUGCUCCCCACCAGGAUGUACUACCUUGCCUCGGGCCCAGAAGUAGCAGGGCCAACCACCAUGGACUGAAACCUCCAAAACUCAUUAUGCUUUCCAAUCCAUCCAUGUUGUAUCCUGCAUCAGAAUUUCCUAAGGCUGAAUGUUAUUCUGCUCUACGCAUAUACUGCAUUCUGUUUAUCCAUUCAUCCAUCAAUGGGCACUUGAGUUGCUUAUUUGCUGCUGCAAAUAAGCAUCCUAGUGGAAGUGGCCUUGAAAAGGAUUAAGCACGGUGCUCCAGCACUCAAAAAUGGAAGAGAUUUAUCUAGGAAGCCCAAAGGAGUGACAUUUACCUGAGCCUCGAAAGAUAAGCAAGAAUUCUUCAGGAAGAGGAGGAAAACCACACAGGAGAAAGAGCUUAACAUGCACUCAGAAGUGGAGAGAGACGAAAAUUUGUAUGGCCUAUUUAGAAGCACAAGUAGGGUCAGCACGGCCUGGGCUGGAAUGUAGUUUAUAGGGCAGAAUGUCAAGAUGUGAGGCAUGAGCCAGGUACAGUGGUCUAUGCCUGUAAUCCUAGCGGUGAGGGAGGCUGAGGCCCAAGGAUCACAAGU